GGUAAAAAACGGCCAAUUUGACGAUACCUUCCCGUGGAAGAAAGUGAAGUGCCCACGUCAGCCCAACAAGAGCUCCCAUUGUGGAUAUUGCGUGAUGAAAUUUAUGAAGGAGAUAAUUCUGCACAAUGCUGACUCAAUUCCCACGCAGUACUUUGCCGACACAUAUUGCACAGUAUAUUCAUCUGCUCAGAUA